UAGUCAAACAUAGUGGCACGAUUCCACCAUAAUAAAAUUCCUGUGUCUUCUUUUUAUUUUUGCUGAUAUUGCAAAUACGGGCAACGCAAGGCGACAUUCCAUUCGGUUGAAGUAUCUGGUGCCGAAGAAAAUUGAUAUGUAGAUGUAAAGAAAACUAAAGGAAAAACUGACAUAGCCUGGAAAACUGAAGUCAAUCAGGAAUCACCACCUUUAAAGGCAUUCGUUUUUAAAACUUGUGUAUGGCAUAUAAAGAAGGCACUACAGAAAGAAGCGUUCAGAAAUAUUUGCUGAAAGCGCUUGAAAAUUGUGGAUAAGUUUCCAAUUCAAAAUGCAGAGCAGCGCACGGCGACAUUUCAUUCGGUUGCAGUAUGUGGUGGCGAAGAAAAUCCAUAUGUAGAUGUAAAAGAAACUGAGGGAAAAACUAUCGUAACCUGGAAAACUGAUGUUAACCAAACCUCACCACCUUUGAGGGUAUUUUUUCCUCGAAUAUUUGAUUACAAAAAUUUGGAAUCCUCAUAAUAAAGAAUCAUUUCUCAGGCCACUAAUGUUCUUCAUUAGCCUAACAAGAAGCGAACUAAAGUCACGCAAUUAAAAAACUUGUGCAAGGUAUAUAAGGAGGGUACUUGGGAAAGAAAUGUUCAGAUAUUUAUAUUGAAAGCGCUUGUAAAUAUUGAAAAUUGUCCGAACCAAAAGGGAGCAACAUAUUCUGUACCUAAUUCAUUCUCUGUAUCGUAUUCUACUGAUAAUCCAGCUUGCGGUAAUACUUGGAAUGAUUUUGAAGUAUUCAAGCUAGAAAGUUUAUAUAGUUUAUAACCGCUUAUAACUGGAAUGACCGACGGGACUGUUACAGGUUUCUGAAUGAAAAAUCAAUAACAAAAAAUAAAAUAAUUCAAACAACA